GUGAGUCAUCGAAUCUUUGAACGCAUAUUGCGCUCUUUGGUAUUCCGAAGAGCAUGCUUGUUUGAGUAUCAGUAAACACCUCAAAGCUUUUGGAUUUUUUUUGAAAGCUUUGGACUUGAGCAAUCCCAACACCAAUCUUUUUCAGAUCGGCGGCGGGUUGCUUGAAAUGCAGGUGCAGCUGGACAUUCUCCUGAGCUAAAAGCAUAUUCAUUUAGUCCCGUCAAACGGAUUAUUACUUUUGCUGCAGCUAACAUAAAGGGAGUUUGACCGUAUUGGCUGACUGAUGCAGGAUUUCACAAGGGUCGGCAACGAUUCUUGUUAAACUCGAUCUCAAAUCAAGUAAGACUACCCGCUGAACUUAAGCAUAUCAAUAAGCGGAGGA
rnacentral:misc_RNA from 1 species